rnacentral:rRNA from 1 species
UUUCCGGUUGAUCCCGCCGGAGGCCACUGCUAUCGGGGUCCGACUAAGCCAUGCGAGUCAUGGGGCUCCCUUCGGGGAGCACCGGCGCACGGCUCAGUAACACGUGGCUAACCUACCCUCGGGUGGGGGAUAACCUCGGGAAACUGAGGCUAAUCCCCCAUAGGGGAGGAGGUCUGGAAUGAUCCCUCCCCGAAAGGCGUAAGCCGCCCGAGGAUGGGGCUGCGGCGGAUUAGGUAGUUGGUGGGGUAAUGGCCCACCAAGCCUACGAUCCGUACGGGCCCUGAGAGGGGGAGCCCGGAGAUGGACACUGAGACACGGGUCCAGGCCCUACGGGGCGCAGCAGGCGCGAAACCUCCGCAAUGCGCGAAAGCGCGACGGGGGGACCCCGAGUGCCCACGCUCUGCGUGGGCUUUUCCGGAGUGUAAACAGCUCCGGGAAUAAGGGCUGGGCAAGUCCGGUGCCAGCAGCCGCGGUAAUACCGGCGGCCCAAGUGGUGGCCACUGUUAUUGGGCCUAAAGCGUCCGUAGCCGGCCCGGUAAGUCUCUGCUUAAAUCCUGCGGCUCAACCGCAGGGCUGGCAGAGAUACUGCCG